rnacentral:lncRNA from 1 species
UAGCCGGUAUGAAGGCCUUUGAUCUUCCAUCCUGUUGCAGUAUCAUUUUAUUUAUUUUAAUUGCUGUUAUGGUCUCACAUCCAGCAGAGAUAUUAGGGCCCCAGGGACUGAAAUAAUUCAUGCCUCUUGCUCUGUGAACAAGAACAUAAUGUAAAACUCAGCCAGGGAGCAAGCUUAAAAUAAUCCUCAAGAAGCUUUGCCCCUGGGAUUCUGCCUUAAAUGUAGCUCCUGAUUGCAGGACCCAGGGUGGAAAGCAUGGGGCAGAGAUAACAUGUUCCAGGCACUCGGAGGCAGCUUAUUAAAGGCAUCUUGGACCAGCUACCCAGGAAGGCAGGAAGUACAUAUUUUGAAGAGACAGGAGGUAUUCUCCCUGCCAAUCUGUAUCAUCAUCUCAUCAGCAUCAUGGCACCUUAUAAAUGCACUGGAGUGGAUACAAAGUCUAAGUAAGAUGCAGUUCCUACCUUCAUGGAGCAUAGUGUCUGGUUCUCCUGUUUUAUCGGACUGA